rnacentral:rRNA from 1 species
UACGUAGGGUGCAAGCGUUAAUCGGAAUUACUGGGCGUAAAGCGUGCGCAGGCGGUUAUGUAAGACAGUUGUGAAAUCCCCGGGCUACAACCUGGGAACUGCAUCUGUGACUGCAUAGCUAGAGUACGGUAGAGGGGGAUGGAAUUCCGCGUGUAGCAGUGAAAUGCGUAGAUAUGCGGAGGAACACCGAUGGCGAAGGCAAUCCCCUGGACCUGUACUGACGCUCAUGCACGAAAGCGUGGGGAGCAAACA